rnacentral:rRNA from 1 species
UACGUAGGGGGGCAAGCGUUUGUCCGGAUUUAUUGGGCGUAAAGAGCGUGUAGGCGGCCAGGUAGGUCUGCUGUGAAAAACUCGAGGCUCAACCUCGAGAUGUCGGCGGAAACCAUCUGGCUAGAGUCCGGAAGAGGAGAAUGGAAUUCCCGGUGUAGCGAUGAAAUGCGCAGAUAUCGGGAAGAACACCCGUGGCGAAGGCGGUUCUCUGGGACGGUACUGACGCUGAGACGCGAAAGCGUGGGGAGCGAACAGG